rnacentral:rRNA from 1 species
UACGGAGGGAGCGAGCGUUGUCCGAAGUUACUGGGCGUAAAGCGCGCGUAGGCGGGGAAUUAAGUGAGAAGUGAAAGGCUGGGGCUCAACCCCAUGCAGUGCUUCUCAUACUGGUUCUCUUGAGGGUGGUAGAGAGAAGUGGAAUGGCUGGUGUAGCGGUGAAAUGCUUAGAUAUGACAUAGAACACCAAUUGCGAAGGCAGCUGGCUACACGAAUAUUGACACUGAUGCACGAAAGCGUGGGGAUCAAACAGG